GUAACAAGGUUUCCGUAGGUGAACCUGCGGAAGGAUCAUUACCGAGUGAGGGCCCUCUGGGUCCAACCUCCCACCCGUGUUUAUUUUACCUUGUUGCUUCGGCGGGCCCGCCUUAACUGGCCGCCGGGGGGCUUACGCCCCCGGGCCCGCGCCCGCCGAAGACACCCUCGAACUCUGUCUGAAGAUUGUAGUCUGAGUGAAAAUAUAAAUUAUUUAAAACUUUCAACAACGGAUCUCUUGGUUCCGGCAUCGAUGAAGAACGCAGCGAAAUGCGAUACGUAAUGUGAAUUGCAAAUUCAGUGAAUCAUCGAGUCUUUGAACGCACAUUGCGCCCCCUGGUAUUCCGGGGGGCAUGCCUGUCCGAGCGUCAUUUCUGCCCUCAAGCACGGCUUGUGUGUUGGGCCCCGUCCUCCGAUCCCGGGGGACGGGCCCGAAAGGCAGCGGCGGCACCGCGUCCGGUCCUCGAGCGUAUGGGGCUUUGUCACCCGCUCUGUAGGCCCGGCCGGCGCUUGCCGAUCAACCCAAAUUUUUAUCCAGGUUGACCUCGGAUCAGGUAGGGAUACCCGCUGAACUUAAGCAUAUC
rnacentral:misc_RNA from 1 species